rnacentral:tRNA from 1 species
GCCUAGGUGGCUUAGUGGUUGAGCGUCUGCCUUUGGCUCAGGACAUGAUCCUGAAGUCCUGGGAUAGAGUCCCACUUUGGGCU